GCCACAUCAUGUUGAAAUAUCAGUUCCCGUAGGAUCACUGAAGUUAAGCAAUGUCAUGCCUGCUUAGUACCUAGAUGGGUGACUGCGUGGAUAUACAAGUGGUGUA